rnacentral:rRNA from 1 species
AGCGCAGGCGGCCAAGUCAGUCUGAAGUGAAAGCCCGGGCUUAACCCCGGAAUAGCUUUGGAUACUGCCUGGCUUGAGUGUACGAUAGGAAAGCGGAAUUCCAGGUGUAGCGGUGAAAUGCGUAGAUAUCUGGAGGAACACCGGUGGCGAAAGCGGCUUUCUGGCGCAUAACUGACGCUGAGGCUCGAAAGCGUGGGGAGCGAACG